UUUAGUGCUUUAUUUAAUUUCUUAUUUAUUUGUAGUAUUUUAUGUAAUUUCUUAUUUAUUUUUAGUACUUUGUGUAAUUUCAUAUUUAUUUUUAGUUCUUUGUGUAAUUUCAUAUUUAUUUUUAGUUCUUUGUGUAAUUUCAUAUUUAUUUUUAGUACUUUGUAUACUUUCUUAUUUAUUUUUAGUACUUUAUGUAAUUUCUUAUUUAUUGGUAGUACCUUAUGUAAUUUCUUAUUUAUUAUUAGUACUUUGUGUAAUUUCUUAUUUAUUUUUAAUACUUCAUGUAAUUUCAAAUUUAGUUUUUUGUACUUUAUUUAAACACAUCAAAUAAGAUUACAUAAACUCACCAAAUAAACUUAAAAUAAAACACCAAAUAAAAUUACAUAACCUCACCAAAUAAACUUAAAAAAAAACACACUAAAUAAAAUUACAUAGACUUAAAAAAACACACUUUGUUCUUCAACCACAAGCUCAUUUUAAUUAUCUUCACCUUGUUGCAAUCCCCACUAGUGCUCAAUUAAGUCACUCUGGCAAAUUAUGUGCCAGUAUGGCUCUUGCACUGAAGUGUACCGCUCAACGAUCAAUUGAUUGUAACGUCCAUCCUAUUCCAACGACUCAUGUUGCACAGGAUCUUCGGUCUGGUCAUGAGCAUAGUAGAUACGUGUUCUUGAGUUGUUCAUC
rnacentral:lncRNA from 1 species